rnacentral:rRNA from 1 species
AUGCAUAAGGGAAGAUUUGAAUCUAUACUAGAGAGGUUAAGCAAAAUUUUGGUUGAUUGGAGUGAACAAUACAUGUCUUUUGGGAGUAAGGAGAUUUUGAUUAAGUUUGUGGCUCAGGCAAUACCCACUUAUGUGAUGAGCGUAUUUCGACUGCCAGCUUCCAUUUGUGAUGAAAUGAAUCACUUGAUGCGACAGUACUGGUGGGGUGUUGAGAAGGGCAAAAGAAAAAUGUCAUGGCUGAGUUGGGAUAAGAUGAUUUUGCCAAAGUCCAAGGGCGGCAUGGGAUUUAGAGACAUGCGUGCCUUUAACCAAGCUUUGUUGGCCAAACAAGCUUAG